rfam:Metarhizium acridum CQMa 102 unplaced genomic scaffold Scf_123, whole genome shotgun sequence.
GGUCCGGUGGUGUAAAGGCUAGCAUUCUAGACUUUGACUUCGGCAUUGGCUCAUUUAAUCUGGCGAUCCGGGUUCGAAUCCCGGCCGGACCU